rnacentral:rRNA from 1 species
GACGAACGCUGGCGGCGUGCUUAACACAUGCAAGUCGAACGGAAAGGCCCUGCUUUUGUGGGGUGCUCGAGUGGCGAACGGGUGAGUAACACGUGAGUAACCUGCCCUUGACUUUGGGAUAACUUCAGGAAACUGGGGCUAAUACCGGAUAGGAGCUCCUGCUGCAUGGUGGGGGUUGGAAAGUUUCGGCGGUUGGGGAUGGACUCGCGGCUUAUCAGCUUGUUGGUGGGGUAGUGGCUUACCAAGGCUUUGACGGGUAGCCGGCCUGAGAGGGUGACCGGCCACCUUGGGACUGAGGUGCGGCCCAGACUCCUACGGGAGGCAGCAGUGGGGAAGAAUGCAGAAUGGGCGGAAGCAUGAUGCAGCAACGCCGCGUGCGGGAUGACGGCCUUCGGGUUGUAAACCGCUUUCGCCUGUGACGAAGCGUGAGUGACGGUAAUGGGUAAAGAAGCACCGGCUAACUACGUG